rnacentral:rRNA from 1 species
CCUACGGGAGGCAGCAGUGGGGAAUAUUGCACAAUGGGCGAAAGCCUGAUGCAGCGACGCCGCGUGAGGGAUGACGGCCUUCGGGUUGUAAACCUCUUUCAGCAGGGAAGAAGCGAGAGUGACGGUACCUGCAGAAGAAGCGCCGGCUAACUACGUGCCAGCAGCCGCGGUAAUACGUAGGGCGCAAGCGUUGUCCGGAAUUAUUGGGCGUAAAGAGCUCGUAGGCGGCUUGUUGCGUCGGUUGUGAAAGCCCGGGGCUUAACCCCGGGUCUGCAGUCGAUACGGGCAGGCUAGAGUGUGGUAGGGGAGAUCGGAAUUCCUGGUGUAGCGGUGAAAUGCGCAGAUAUCAGGAGGAAUACCGGUGGCGAAGGCGGAUCUCUGGGCCAUUACUGACGCUGAGGAGCGAAAGCGUGGGGAGCGAACAGGAUUAGAUACCCUGGUAGUCCACGCCGUAAACGUUGGGAACUAGGUGUUGGCGACAUUCCACGUCGUCGGUGCCGCAGCUAACGCAUUAAGUUCCCCGCCUGGGGAGUACGGCCGCAAGGCUAAAACUCGAAAGUAGUAGUCGGACCGUGNGAGCGCGACGACGACGACGACGGAGGAGG